GCUGGAAUGGCCGAGUGGUCUAAGGCGGUGGUUUUAAGUUAAUCUAUUUAACACCACUCUCGAAAGAGGCGGGAGUUCAAACCUCCCUUCCAGCA
rfam:Fusarium oxysporum f. sp. cubense race 4 unplaced genomic scaffold scaffold52, whole genome shotgun sequence.